AAACUUCAAUCAUUCUCCAGAGUAAGAUAUCAAUGGUUUUAUAUAAAAGUGACCAAGGAUGCAGAUAAUGUAUGUCCAGAUAAGUAGUUCCGAGCAGAUAUUCAGCUUAAAAUCUCGUAUGACACCAUUCAUUUACACUGAAAAGAAAACCGAUACAUCUUGGCUUCCAAGAUUUCUUGUCAAAUAUCACAGCAACCACUGCCAAGAAAUCAUCCUCACAUCUCCCCAGAUUUUACACUUGCAACAAAAUAUGCUAUCACACUAAAUAGAAGAAUCAAUUAGCACAAGAACUACUUAUCAAAACAAGAUUUCACCAUCCACCAUCCAAGAACAAUUAAACAGAAGCGUCAAAAAAGAACAAUUAAGCGGCAUUGCUGGCCAGCACAAAAACAUGGAAAUAGCCGAGCCCUCCUUAUUUUCAAGUUCAGCCUGAGCAUCGUUCCAGUGCCAUCAACUACAGUGAAUGAAGAAAUCGAGUGAGCAAACAAAUAAUCCAGAAGGCAAGUGUAAAUAAAAGGAUUAAUGUUUAUAUGAAGCAAUGUGGCUCGUAAAUCAACAAAUUCUGAACUCGUAAAUGUCGGUGCUCCGCGGCUGGGAUUUACUCAAUUGGAACUGGGGCGUUGCCGCUUCGGGGCCCUUCGUCCCGCCGCGGGAAGCCUUACUCCCACUCACCGGCGUGUCGGUGGCGAGCAGCACCAGUACUCCCCGGAGAAGCCGGCGGCGGGGAGCGCGGAGUGCACCUCGGCCCACCGAAUCGCCUGCGCCCCCCACGACGGCGCCCCGCUGAGAGCGCCUCGAGCUCAUACCUCGUAUACCUCAUCGUCCUAGUGGCACAGCACCUCCAAUGGCGGCAACAACAGAAAACGAAGGGUUUGAGUUUUUUACAUGGUGGUUCCUACUGGAGAAAUUAAGGAUGUGCAUCGAAGGCCACGCAGAGGAAUGGAGGCAGCGGAUGCUGCGUCCCCGACGCGCACACGAUGGCUUCGGCGGCAUCUGCGUCCCCGGCGUCCGGAGAAAUGGGGACAGCGAGUUCGAGCCGGCGCAUCAACGGUUUCGCGCGCGGCUCGGCGAUGUGGAGGUGGGGCGGCGCACGCGCGGGGCUGAGGAGGUCGCGCGG
rnacentral:lncRNA from 1 species